ensembl:lncRNA
CCUGUAUUGAAAGCAGCUAUUAUUUGCCACUUCUACAACACUGCAGCUUGAAUGAGACAUUAAAAAUAGUGUGUCUCAUUUGCCAGGAUCUGAAGCUGCCCAGCUGGAAGAGCAGAGAAUGGAAGUGUUGAGGGCAUUCAUGAGCAAGACAUGCCAGAUUCUGCUAUCACUCCUACUGGUAUUGCUGAUGCACAAAGAGGAAAACAUCUCAGCCAGAAAAACUUCCUAGGCCAUGGCAGUAAAAUGGACAGAGAAGAGAGUCACCAGAAAGGAAGCGAGGAAACCAGAAACAAGACCACUGACACUUUGUUUCAUCCAAGGAAGUGGCAAAUCCUUUGACCUCCAAAAGGCAAACACCACCAGGAACUGCUCAGGGAACUUAGAAAGCUCAGCCUUCAAUCAAAUUGGCUUGAAACUGGCUAACUGAUUCAGAAGUUACUGGGAAGACACAAAGGAAAUGUGGCUUGCUGAAUUAAUGAGCAACUCCUGGGAUUUUGGUUGGGCAAUCCAAGCCAAUAUCUAUGCUGGUUAAGAUCUUCACUGUCAAUGAAAACAGGAUUAUAUUUUGGAUUCACAGUCUGAACUAAAAACACCAAAGUAGAUGCCAGUGUGUUUGGAUCAGGCAAGUGUUCCUUCUUGGCACCCCCUUUUCUCCACUUUGAAAAUAAAUUUCAGUUUCAGUUUUAUACUAGACAAUUUCUUCGCUGCUACUCACCACAGUUUUCUGUUUCCUUAGAAAGGACAUAAUGCCCUGAGAUACACAGUCAUUGAUGACACCCUCUUUCCUGAACAUAAGCCUUAUGAUGUGCAAGAAUUUUUAACAGUGACCUCUGAAUUGGAAACAUAUUCAAAAAUAGAGACACAGAAUGAGAUUUUAUUGGAUCUCUACAAGGAAUACGAAAUCAUUCAGCAACAGUUUCAGAGGUGCCAAGUUAUGCAGCAUAAAUAGAUUAAUUCAAUUGUGUCUCUAUUGCUGUGAUUGUAGGAACCAAGUUAUCCUAAAUUAUGAACAAGCUUGAGUGACACAAUAGUGCAGUGUCCCCUGAAUCAUUUAGGACACCGACAAAGCACAGACAUCAUCAGACAUCAGUUUGGGUCCUGCUGAGUGCACUGUAGCAUUGAUGAGACCACUACUUAGGAUGCCAGCAACAUCCUCCCUUUUUCUUACCAGGGCUGGCCCCAGCACAGGAGCCUCCUCAUCCCUACAGGAAGAGAGCAAGGACAGAUGCUCUUCCUGGAGUUAGUUUGGAUCAUGCACAGCAGAAGCUCCACUGGGCCUGACACUUGUUAAGGAGAAUUUCCCUUCCUUGUCUGAUUAGCAAUUCCUGAAAUAGAAACAUAUACAUUUCCACAGAAAAAUAAUGUGAUGUCUCCAAAAUUCACCACUCCAGAAUGGUAGCAAGUAGAAAUAAAAGCAAUAGGUGGGACACUGCACUUUAGCUAAUAAAUCUGUCUGAGCCAAGAUUGCUGUAAGUUUUGGAUUAUGGAUCUGUGACCUGCAUAACUCGAUGUUAAUCAAAUGCAAGUUUAUCAUACAACUCCAACAUAAAAAUCGUUGAUGUUCAAGUAAGAACAACACAAGUGUACGGCAUUAGAAGUGUAUUAAGUAAAAAACAGGGAAAAAAUUAAAAUGGAAUUCUCUCCAAGAGGCAUUCUUUGAGUCGUCUCAAAUUACAGAAGAUGGAGGGCUCACCUUCCUCUACAUCUGUGUAGUUAAAUUUGUAGACUGUAAAUAUUCUCUCAGGUUGCUAAGUGAGUUUAUUUUGCACCGUUCCUGGCAUAAAACCAUUCACCAGCUUUUCUGUAAAGUCAUGUGCUUCAUGACUAGCAAUCCCCAAAGCCCAGAUUUUUGUAGCUGGAUUAUAGCCUGUUUGGCAAAUUAAUAUCCUGUGAUAUAGUUAUGAGGAAAAGCCGGACUGCCACAGACAGGCAAGUUUUCACCCUUUUGACCACCUCAGUCUCCAGCUUCCUGCUUACCAAAUAUGCUAUGUGUCUAGAGAUCUAUUCUCCUGUCAGCACCAGCAAAGCAGGGAUUAAGAGCUUUUUUUCAGUCAGUCUCCAUGGCAUCCUGUAUAUUUUGGAGAAAAUCUUUUGUCGUAGCAACUGAAAAGAGAGAGCCACAAAGGUGCUGUGAGUAUGGUGUGAUGCACUCAACCUUUUUGCUUGGUGCUUUCAUAUAUAUGGAAGACUUGGCCUUGUAACUGACAUUACAUUUCCUGAAUUAAUUUUGUUUCAUACUUCCUUUGAUUCCACAUGGUUAAGGCAUUCUGACCGCUGUUGUACUGUGAGCUGACAAGCUUUACAAAAUAACACUAGUCCUCAAAAACAUUUCUUGUGCAUCAACAGCUGAAUUACCUACUCUUUUCUGUACAGAGAUGCACUCUCUUAUACUCUAAGUAAUCUCUGAAAUAUCAUCUGAAUGCUGGAUAUCCUGAGUCAGUCUAUUACUCUAGUUUUAAGGAUUUCCACUCCGAGGAAUGAAAUGCCUUUGAAUUUUCCAAUUAUACUAAGACCACCUUUAGCAAAGGCUAGGUUAAGAUGAAAGAAAAAUGAAUAAUGCAUUUACCAAAUACAAAUAACAAAUUUGCAGAAGCUUUAGAAACAGAUGAGUGGAAGUGAAAACAGAAGCACGCACAUAUCUACAGCUUAGAUAAGCUCCAAAGGUUUCUCUUACCCUGCAGGAUGCAGCUGACAAGCUGAUUAGAUGCUUCAUGGCCUUGUCAGUCUCAUUCUAUGCAAAUCCUAUGUCCUUAACUUGCCUCACAGAAGUCUGAAUUUGCCAGCUUCUGCUCCUUUUUAAGCCCCCAACUUUUUUUUUUUUUUUUUUAGGGGUGGGGGGGAGGGGGCGUUGAUUAAAUGUGGCUUCAGCUUCAUCCUCUCUCCUUCUAUUCUUCAAGCAUUUUUUAUUGAUAGCUUCCAAUAAGAGGUAGUUUCAAAUUUCCUUCCCCGGAACUACUGGCUUUCUCCUUCUGCUUUGGAAAUUCUUAUAUUCCUUGGACAUGCCCAGACGAGGGCAUUGCUUUCUCCUAAACUCAGUGGAAUGUGCUAAUGACUGAGCCCUGCAAAGGGAAGUACUUCAUUAUUAUUCAAAUGCUGGAGCGGAGCCUUCACCAAAACCUUAUGUUUUCAUUUAAAUAUAUAGUUCUGCAGUUUUAUCACCAGAGUUAUCAUAGAGAAAUCAUUACUGGGUUUAAUUUGAAAGUAGAUAAAGUGGCAAGGUUCUGGAAUAUUGAUGGGUUUGAGGGAACACUAAGUCCUAAUCUUGUUAUUGAGCAGUACUAAGACUCAUUUAUUCUCUUCAUGUUAAAGCAAGGAGUGUCUGCAUUUUCCUCCUAUUCCUUUUCUUUGGUAACCUCAGUCUGCAAUUAUAAACUAUCUAUAAAUAAAAUAUUUGUUGAAAUAAAUAUGAGUCAUUAUCUCCCAGAUUUGAGAAUUCCUAUACAAACCUCCAUAAAUAUCUUGGUAGGUUUUCCAAUAGCCCUUGCUGCUUUUACACGAGACAUUCAGAGGAUACCUAAAUCUAGGUGAGAAGGAAAUUAUUCACCUAACUGUGAGGCCAAGAGAAUACGUGCUUUAUACAUAGCUAAAUAGAAAUGGCUGAUAUUAUAGUUAUAUAAUAUAUGUAUCAGCUUGCUGUAAAACAUAAGUGCUAAAGAAAAAGUUAACAUCAGAACCACCAAGCCAGCUGGAUGAUGAAAAAGCAGCUUCAGCCAACACCGGAUCCAGCAGAGCUGUUGAAAGAUCAGGUUGAGUUCAUAAUGAAGUCACCAGAUUAUAAUCUCUUUUAAAUUUUGGAUAAGGUAUUUGGAUGGAUGAGGUAAAAGGAGGAAAUAUAACACAGAUUUUAAAAAGUUUUGGGUGACAUCAUGGGGGGAAUGCUCACAUUGAAAAUUGAGUAUGUAAUAGAAUUAACAGUAGCAGAAUGUGUUGGGGAUUGAUUGGCUAUGUUAUCCACUCACUGUGUGUGGAAGAAAUACAAAUGCAGUAUGACUGAUCAGCCCCCUGAAUAAAUAAUGAGUUUCCAGUACUCUACUGGUGUAUUUCAUAGAUCUGUUUCUAUCAAGUUCAACUAUACAGAAGCAUCUGAGUUCAGAGAUGAUUACCGAAAAAGGAACAAGUAAUAUCAAGUUGGUUUUGUGGGUUUUUUUAGUCAAAUAUUGGACUUUCUAAAAUCCUGCAGAAAAUCGAGCACCUUUUCUGCCCCUUCUUGAUGCAGUAAUAUUUCUAGAAAAUAAUUUAAAAAACAAUAAUAAUAAACACAGUUCCUUGUGGCUGAAAACAUUUUGUUAGAAGUAAAAAUACCUCAGUUAAUAACAUAACAAAGUUUUGAAUGUCACCCAGUAAAAAGUACAAGGUGCCACAAGUGUCCUAGGGAUAUCAAAUCCACUUAAAUAAUAAGGUAAAUGAAAAUUUAAUUAGACUUGAACCUCUGAAAAACACUAAUUUGUUAAGUCUUUUCACACAAGUGGGCCUGUGUGGGACUUGCCUUUGGGACACAAGUUACCAAGCAAUUAAAGUAAGUGCUGCGUAUCUUAAAUUCCCCUUGAUUUCAGGGAAAGAAAAGGCCAUAGGUAUAAAAAGACUCAAAGUACCUUGAUGCUACCCACUGGAAGUGCUCAACUGACUGUAGGAAUUCACCAUGGCCAGUGAGCAAAAAUAAGCAUUUCCCUUCUGUCAACACCUCAUUUGCUUCUCCCUUGAUUUUCCUGUGAUAAGGACUAAGCUCUCUUUUGGAAAUAAUUGUUGUUAAACACUUACGAAGUGUACGACAUACUGAAGAUGCCACUAUUCUGAUUAUCACUGUUCUUGCUCGCAAUAGUAGCUCAGAAGUAUUUCCAUAUUACAGCACUCUCCAUAGGCACCUCUGGAAUUCACACGCUUUCUGAUUCAGGCAACUAACAAAGAUCUGUGUCAGCAGGAUGAGGAACAUUUGGAAAUGGGAAAAAUAAACUGUCCUGAAACUCAUCAAGAAAAUUCUGUGUCUUGAGCUUACAAGUUCUGUCAUUCACUAAAUGACCUCAUCUUCUCUGUACUACUUCUCCAAUGCUUUCUGCCUUCAGAUAGUAGUACUGCUGGGAGGAAGGGCAGCAGGAGGACUUCAGAGGGAUGGAAGUCCUAUUCCCAAACAGUCCUUCCUCUCACAUGCAUUACAAUUUCAACCUUAUGGAUGAAAUAUUUGCAUUUUACCACAUUUCUGUUAACAAUGUUAUUUACUAUCAUUAUCAAGAAAUAGUAACAGUAAUCCCUGUCUAGACAAUUUCCCUUGAUGUGACCUUUCAGUACAUUAAAAAAAAAAAAAAAGUUAUUUCUUUAUCUGGGGAAUGGUUUUCUUUCUAAUAGCUGAUGUCUUGCCUUUAGAAAUUGAUAUUUCAGGAAGAGAAUUUGAAGGCAUCUAGGUCUUAUAAUGUCUAGCGAUGAUGCACCUCAGCACUUAACAGCUUUACGCACUGUCUUACAUUUAAAGGCAUAAAGCGUGUCAUUACGAGACCACAAUGCACACCUCAUCACAUCUUAUUGCUUAAUAAGGUCAUCUAGUCUGCCCACCUCAUUACGUGCAAUGGCUAAUGUCAUAUUUCUACCAUUUUUCUAGAUAUAUUUUAAAAUUCUCAAGGGAAGGUGCUUUCAGAUCAGGAUUUCAGAUCAGGAGUUCACCCGUUCCCUAAUCAGUAUCUCCCAUCAAUACUUCUUAUAAAUAUAGAGGCCUCUUGUGCUUGCUUGCUUUAAGCACAUUGCUUUAUAUAUAUAUAAAAAUAUGUAUAUGCAGUGUUCAGGAAACAAGAUAUAUAUCUCAAGUUUACCCUAAACUCCAUAGCAAGCUGAUGCAUAAGAACAUAGUUCUGUCUCAUACAUGCAAAAAUGUUAGACCCGCUUUGCAAAGAAGUUGCACUCCUACACAUAGGUGCACUCUUCAAAUCUACCACAGAGAGCCACAGUGGGAGCUGAAGGAGCAUAAUACUCAACCAUACAUGAUCCCUAAGUGAAAUGUAUAUUAAUCUUUAUGUGAAGAUCAGGAACAAGACAAAGUGGUGUACUAAAUUUGUGUCAGGUAUUAUUGCAAAUGUAUUAACUAGGCAAUAAAGUCACAUAUUUACAGUAAAAUGUGUAAUUUACUUAUUUGUGUUCAAAAAAAUCAAUGCAAACUUACUCUAUUAUUUAAUAACAUUAUUCCAGACCCAAACCUUUCAUUAUAUUAAAUAGCAUGGAACAGUGUUUUGACUGAAUGGAUUUUCUAAGUAUGCGAAUUGAACUGAAUCAAUUUUUGUAAUUUCAAGGCCAUUCACAGUGAAUACAGUUUAAAGAGUCCAAGGGAGCACUACAGCACAGGAGCACAUUCAUAGUGAAUUGCUUUGAAAUUGGCUGAAGGCUACUUCAUUUUCUUCAACUACAUUUUGAAAAGCUUGUUUCCAUGGGAUAAAUUUAAUUUCAGGUUGAACUGCUGAAUUGAUUAAACGUCUUAUUGCAUCUUGCUGUAACUUUAUUCUAAUUCCAAAGUUCUUUUUUUUCCAAAUAGUAAAAGUUAAAACAACCAUAUCUUUUUUACAACUAAAAUACCUACCUUCUCGUCAGAAACUUCUUCAGCUCUUGUCAACUAAUUUAAUUUUUUUUUCCCGAUUUUUAUGUUUUCAAUGGCCUUGAGCAGUCUUUUUGUCCUCUAUUUUCUGGCUGAACAUCAUCUCAACAAGAUGGCCAAAAAAGCUCUUGACAUUCUUUUUCCUGUAAAAUUAUAAUACUUUCAAUAGUGCAUUAUUAUGAGCAAUUGACAGGAAUGUGUCAUCAGGACUUGUUAGCAUGUUAGGAGGAGGAGAAGUGGAAAGAAGGCAAAGAAAGUUCCAAAAUAACAUUUUUAGGAUUGAGAGAAAGGAUUGGAGAGGGAGAAAAGCUGAUGGAGUAAUUUGUAAAUGUAAAUACAAAGGGGAAACAAAUUUUAAUAAACAUGGAACUGUGUAUAGACAGAAAGAAAAAUAAGUUGCUUUUUAAAAACAGAUGUAAAGUGAAUUUAGUGAUUCUAAACUUAAAACAUUAUCAGCUACCUUCUUUCCUCUCAUUUUGUAUUUCUUCCUGUAAUACUUUUUUCAG